rnacentral:sRNA from 1 species
GCCAGGCACAGUGGCUCAUGCCUGUAACCCCAACAACAUGGGAGGCUGAGACAGGAGGAUCACGAGUUCAAAGCCAGUCUCAGCAAAAGUGAAGUGCAACCGAGUGAGACCCUGUCUCUA